CGCGCGCCCGGGGCGGGGACCCGCUCCCCUUGCUGGGCGCUCCCUCGCGGCGCAGUGCAGUGCCGGGGCCGCGGGCAGGGAGCCCCCAGGCAAGACUUCAGGUCGUUACUAGCUUUGAAGUAAGACUUUUCCUGUCCCCUGCCCCUGAGCCUCGGGGGCCCGGACUCUCCCUGACCGCAGAGCUAUGGGUCACCCAAAUCCGGCGCUGGCCUGGCUCUACCAAGUCCGCUGCUCGCCGGCCAGAGUGUGGGCGUCCUUCCUCCGGAGCCUCGCCAAAGCUGGCGUGGCGCUUCUCCGCUGACAGCUCUCCUCACUUCACAGUCUUUGGGUAUUUAAAGUCAUCGUGGUAACCCAUCCCCUGAUCUGGAUGCCUUUAAUUUUCUUAUGAAUUUACUGCGCUAGAGACGUUCAUUCCUUAAAACGCAUUGACUGGGGUCGCGCUUGGCUCAGGGCGCUGUCCCAGGCUCCUUGUCGCCCAAGUAUCCCAAAGCUCCCAUCCCUGCCCGCGCGGCCGGGUCAGUGAGCCCGCGCUGUUUGGAGGACGCCCAAAGAUUGCUGCCAGCGAGGAAGGCAUUCGGGCUCCCGACUGGAGUUCCAGGUCCUGGAAGAACGACUGGGAGUUGAAAGGUUACGCUCCAGGCCGGGGCUCCAUCGCGCGUUUGCAACCAUCAGACAGAGGGCCCAGACAGGAUCUUCCUAAGACGGACUGCCUCAGCCCCCAUAGCUAAGCUGUGAAAACACUCUCAGUUUUAGGAGCAGAAUGGAAGUCACUCCAUCAGAAUAAAGCGUUUGUGGAGCUACGCUGGCGAUUCCUAAAACCCUGAAAAUCCUCUCUCAGGACGGCGAAUUGAGGUUGUUCUCUCCGUGCACAUUUGCGCAGUAGAAAUGGAUGGCUGGUUCGCUGAUCUGUCCGCAGCAGCAAAAAAAAAAAAUCUUUAACAAGGGAACUUGAAAGGUCCAACUUCAGGCACAUGUGGAUUCAGAGGUUCCAGUGAUGUCAGAAGUAGAGCUAGAGUCUCAGCAUUGCCCACCCCCUCCUCUCCUCUCUGCUUUCUUCUGUGGGCUUCCUUGUUAAGGUGACUGACUUAACACCGUGGUACCUGGCAGCUCCAGGAUUAUCUUCUCCUCAGGGGUCAGGAUCUAAGAAUGAGCCCAUCUGGAAUUCUGGAAGGAGGCAGCCUCUUGUGGCUCCCAUCUGGCAACAUAGAGCAACUGCUGCCAAAUAGGAAUGGAAUUGUGGCAGAUUUAAGAUGCUGACAAAACAAAUUCUGAUUCUAAGCGACUUGGCCAGAUUCCUAUCUACAGAUCAACCAGGAUUUUCUGGUAUAGACCCAAAAGAAUUGAAAUCAAGCACUCGAAGAGAUGUUUGUACACCUAUGUUCAUGGCAGCAUUAUUCACAAUAGUCAAAAGACGGAAGCAACCCACGUGUCCAUAAACAGAUGAAUGGAUAAACAGAAUGUCGGAUAUCCAUACAAUGGAAUAUUAUUCAGCCUUAAAAACUAAGGAAAUUCUGACACAUGCUAUAACAUGGAUGAACUUUGAGGACAUUAUGGUCACCUCUGGGAGUGAGAACGUGGACUGAGUACUCUCUGCCCUCAUCUUCUGCCCCUG
rnacentral:lncRNA from 1 species